GAAGUGGAACAGGAUCAUGGUUGUUAUUGUGACCUGCCAGGGGGCGCGGAUCUGUUGAUUGAAGCUCGGCAGCAGUCAGAGUCCGGCCUCUGUAGAGGUCCGGGAGGGGUCCUCCUUGCGGUUGGGGUCGUGGGUGGAGCCCGGCUUCCGUGGGAGUCCGGGCGGAACCCUCUCGGAGCUGAAGUUGCGGGCGGAACCCGGCUCCUGUAGGAGUCCGGGCGGAGUCCUCUGCAAACAAAGUUAAAGGUGAAGUCCGGCUCCCGUAGGAGUUCGGACGGAGCUUACCAGCAGUUGAUACUG
rnacentral:lncRNA from 1 species